rnacentral:piRNA from 1 species
UGAGGAAAAAAUAAUUUUGAAUGGUUAAUGU